rnacentral:rRNA from 2 species
AUGGACGAAAGUCUGAUGGAGCAACGCCGCGUGAGUGAAGAAGGGUUUCGGCUCGUAAAACUCUGUUGUUAAAGAAGAACAUAUCUGAGAGUAACUGUUCAGGUAUUGACGGUAUUUAACCAGAAAGCCACGGCUAACUACGUGCCAGCAGCCGCGGUAAUACGUAGGUGGCAAGCGUUGUCCGGAUUUAUUGGGCGUAAAGCGAGCGCAGGCGGUUUUUUAAGUCUGAUGUGAAAGCCUUCGGCUCAACCGAAGAAGUGCAUCGGAAACUGGGGAACUUGAGUGCAGAAGAGGACAGUGGAACUCCAUGUGUAGCGGUGAAAUGCGUAGAUAUAUGGAAGAACACCAGUGGCGAAGGCGGCUGUCUGGUCUGUAACUGACGCUGAGGCUCGAAAGUAUGGGUAGCAAACAGGAUUAGAUACCCUGGUAGUCCAUACCGUAAACGAUGAAUGCUAAGUGUUGGAAGGUUUCCGCCCUUCAGUGCUGCAGCUAACGCAUUAAGCAUUCCGCCUGGGGAGUACCGCCGCAAGGCUGAAACUCAAAGGAAUUGACGGGGGCCCGCACAAGCGGUGGAGCAUGUGGUUUAAUUCGAAGCUAC